AUUGAACGCUGGCGGCAGGCCUAACACAUGCAAGUCGAACGAGUGGCGGACGGGUGAGUAAUGUCUGGGAAACUGCCUGAUGGAGGGGGAUAACUACUGGAAACGGUAGCUAAUACCGCAUACCAUCGGAUGUGCCCAGAUGGGAUUAGCUAGUAGGUGGGGUACCGGCUCACCUAGGCGACGAUCCCUAGCUGGUCGGAGAGGAUGACCAGCCACACUGGAAAUGAGACACGGUACAGACUCCGACGGGAGGCAGGAGUGGGGAAUAUUGCACAAUGGGGGCAAGCCUGAUGCAGCCAUGCCGCGUGUAUGAAGAAGGCCUUAGGGUUGUAAAGUACUGUCAGCGGGGAGGCGUUACCAGCAGAAGAAGCACCGGCUAACUCCGUGCCAGCAGCCGCGGUAAUUC
rnacentral:rRNA from 1 species